rnacentral:lncRNA from 1 species
UAUUGCUUAAAGCGGCAUUAAACCCUACUCACUCAUUCACUCACUCACUCACUCACUCACUCACUCACUCACUCACUCACUCACUCACCUUAAACCUCAUUUCACCUCAGCUCCUUCAUGGUUGAAGUGUUAUUAAAUCAACAGACUGAAUAGGCGUUAUCAGUCAUCAUCUGUUAACUGUUGCAUUUUCAACAUCUCAUCUGAAACAAGAAGGUGAAGCUGAAACUUUGCAUGAAUGAUUCCAGCUGUGUUGUAUCUAAAAGUGGUACAGCUCUUAGUGUUGGCCUAACUUAGGUUACUGGCGAUCUGCAGCCUGUUUUUAUAAUGUGUCGUCUGUUAUAAUCUGAUCAUUUUAUUGUUCUAAAACUAGUUUUACAAUUAUAAUCUGUGAUAUAUUGCUAGUUGUUGUACUGUCCUUCGACGACAGGUUUUUAUAUCUAAUAUAAAUGCUUAACUUGCUCAAGUCAUGAUAUGGCUGAAAUAGUGCCGAUGUGACUUUAAAUAUUAACUCACUCACUCAUUUCAGAUUUUUUAGGUAGAUUGGUUACCUAAUUACUUUUAUUUCUGGUCAUCCUGCAGAGAUUACAUAAAAAAGUAUUUUUUAUUGAUGUCAACAAUUGGUGUUAUAUAUUUUUUUCACUUUUGUGAGGUACAUAUGCUCUACAGUGUUGGUCGAUGAUGAACCUAAUAUUGUCCAGGAGAGGACAUAUCAAAGAAACCUUGCAUGCUAAUGCAGCUUGUUCACACUCUGUAUCAGAAAUGUCACUCAUGUAGGUGAAUUGAAGAAAAAGACUGCAGGUCUUUUGUAAUUUUAAAUCAAUUUGAUAAUCAACAUGCUCACUAACAUGAGGGGGAUGAUUUCUUGUCUGAAUAUGACUUUGGCAGACGUCCAUCUACAGACAACCAUAUGGUGUGAGACACCACCCAUACUAUGGGACUAGGGGCAGAGGCAGAUGAUACGUACAGCAGGUUUUUUUAGGAAAUGAUCAAGGCAUAUUUCAGAGGAUUAACCAGCACUGGAGAGGCAGAGGGAAAGAGUCACAGACCACAAAGUUGACCCCUCAUCUGCUGAUGAGGAUUUGUUCAAAUUUUUGAAGCCUCCCAACACAAGGAUGUCAUUGCCUAAGUCUAGGAUCAAGGAGCUCAACAUUGUCAACAGAUAUACCAUGGUAAUUGGGACAUAUAUAUCAACUGGUUUGUGGAUGGAGUAUGCGACGGCUCACCACCUCUUUUAUGGAUCUUAUGAGAGUGUCUGAGGGGACUUGCCAUUCACUAUGCAGACAGAUCCAUUGGUUUCAUCCUAACUUUAAGUUUAAGUCCUAAUAGAGCAGUGGCGGAAGAGUCCAGGAGGUUUGUCCUGUCACAUCCUAUCACGUCACAACACUUCUUUAACAAUAAGCUACACAUGCAUGGUCCCGCACUUGAGCAUGAGCCUGUUUGAUCAGUUUGGACCUCCAGGCUGCUUAUUUCCAUGUUGGAUGCGAUUAUUCAGUACCUGACAAACAGGAUGAUGGAACUGCAUUAUCCAUGAACUGUAAGAGUCUGUUUGUAGCCUCUCUGGUCUCUUCUAGAAAGUUAGACACAGAUCGCAUGAUUACCCUAAUAGCUCAUGUUUGGCCAAGCCAACCGUGGUUUCAAAACCAGUCUCCGUUGUUAUAUGGAAGAACCACUCAAAAUACCUGAGCGUUAAGAUCUUCUCCAUUAGCCCAGAUCGGACAUAAUGUAUGUCAAUCUCCAAAGUCUUCAUUUUCACACAUGGAAACUAUUACGUGUAAGAUGCAGGCUUCUGUCUUCUCCAAGUCUCCAUCUGCAGAGUUGGAACAAUCUUGGAGAUCUUCUUCACCUGCGAUCUAUGACAACAGGUAGCACAAGUUCUGUCAGAAGAGAAGAAGGCAGGGAAUGGUGAUGGGGAAUGAUGAUGUAACUAAACCCUUGGUGGUGGACUUCUUACUUCAUCUCUGGCAGGAUAGCAAGUUUUGUCAUGGUACCAUAGAUGGAUAUAGAUCACCCUUAGCCUCAGUGUUUCAGCAUGAUAGUGGACAACUUAGGAAAUCACCUCGUUCUAACCAGACUGAUGAGAUCAUUGUUUUCUGUUUUCUAUUUCCAACCUUCUCGAAGUAGAAUCUAUCACUAUCACUAGUCUCAUCUGCUUCAGAGGAAGUUUUUCACAUAUUUUUUUAUGUUCCUGACAUCUUCUUGAUUAGUCUUUUAAUGUGAUUCAGUUACGAUACUUAACCUAGUCUUUGGUCUUUCUUUCACCUUGUGGAAGGGUUUUAUAUUUAUUAGGCAUCCACAACUACUGUUAACUAUCCUUGGACUACUAGAUCUAAGAGCCCAUUUCUUUUCUGUCAAUAUGUUUUGCAAUAUUUUCAAUUUUGACCUUAUUUGACCUUGCUCUUAAUUUCUCUCAAAAUGCAUAUAUGCCUAUGUAAGCACCUUAAUCAAUAGUUGAAUCAUGAAAACUCCAGGAAUAAGUAGCUCCAGUCUGGCCUCCUCAGACCUUGUUUUAUCAUCCGCUUUCACAUCUUGUUGACAGGCAAAGGGAGAUGACCCAAGCCAGGAACAAGCUGAACCUACCAUGGGAUUGAAAGGCACAGCCUCACUUCAUUGGACAGUGACUUGUAACUUUCAUGGUGUCGAGUGUGACUGGAAGGACAGUGGCAUUUCAACAAACAUUGCUGAAUUCCUGUGGGUACCUGAAAGCAAUACAGGUCACGUUGGGACUGAUUGUGCAACUUUUGUAAUGAGAGACAGACUGAUCCAGUUCAUUCCACUGAAGGGGAAGUUUUAGACUUUCUGUGAUAUAGUGUCCUGCUUAUUGCCAGAAGAGCAUAAGAUGUGACCCACCAGGGGGAACCUUAUGGGUGCUAGGAUUGUGCUGUGAUGUCAUAAAGAAAGAUGUUUGAUGUCAAUUCUUCCCCAUAUAAAUCUCUGCGUGUCCGUUCUGUACAAAAAUAACUUUCUUUCUCUCUCGUUAGUUCGUAAUGUAAUUAAAUAUUAUUUUUAACUCAUCCUGCAUCAUUCCUUAUGCAUUUACUGCUUACCUUACGACAAGGAAGACAGCACUUCGCGAUCGUCCUACGUGAAAAAAAGAAAAAGCAGUUUCAGACUCAAGUCUGCUUUUUACAGGACCACCGCCACUGUCAUGUGACAGAUUGUGAUGUUACAUCCAUUUCAUAUUACUGCUCAUCGUCGUCAGCUAAAGUCGUGUCUCGCUUUUGGCUCUUCAACUUUGGCUAAAUUUGGUGGUCAGCAUUCUGCUACAACACUAAAUUACUUCUGAGACGGGUGAUGUAUUCCUUUCAUAUUUUUUUAACUUGAUUGUGUGUUAAUAUGCAGGUGCCACUUGGCUCGUUGUUUCCGCCAUUUUGAAUUUGUGUUACAAUUGUUUACCUCUUACCAAGGAAGUCAAGUUUAUUUGCAAGUCUCGUCUUGGGUAUUAACAUGCUUAUGGAUAUAUAUAUAUAAAUACCACUAGCCUUUGGCGUUAUAAAGAGUUUUCAUGUUUGUAUUUAUACACCUUAAAAACUUGAAUUUCUUUUGCCAAUUUCAACUGUGUGUUUAUCAUCGGCAUGCUGAAGUCUACUUCAACUACAACUUCUAAUUUUGUGUAAUUGUGCGGUGUUCAAAUUGUCGUGGUAAAAUAUCUUCUAAAGGUCCUCAUCCAUGUUGCUUGGACUGCACUCAAGUAUGUGCUACAAAUUUCAAAUGUAAUUUUUGUUCACUUCUUUCUUCACCGAGUUCUCCAUUUAUAGACAGGUCACCAGGGCUCCAGAUAAUUUUUCAGCAACACAAGUACAUACUCCACAUUUUUUCAAUAUAGGAGUACUUGCAAAACUCAAGAGUACACUUAGAGUACUGAAUGGAAUUUAAUGGAUUCAUCUUGUAUUUCAUCUUAGAAAUGCACCACAGCAUUGCUACUCUUGUGUAAACAUGUCAGUAAACAAUAAAUAAUACUUUCUUCGUUGUACACGUAUGUCUAUUGUAUAAUGCGCUCUUCCCUCCAGGGUAUUCAGUAUGUUUUGGGAAAGAAAUUGAGUAUUAUGAGCAGAAUGUUUUACUUUUACAUCCUAUCCCUUUAGCAAAUUCAGGUAACGAACAGGUUAUAACAAACUUGGUUAAUACAAAUUUGAACUUUCAGAUUGGUAUCACUAGACAUGAUGAUUUACCAUUUAAAUUGUAUUUCCAGUUCUAAGCAGAUAUUGAGAUUACCAUGAGUAUUUCCUCGUAAACUAAGCCGGAAACAGCAAUUAGGUGUACACAUGUUUUCUCAAAAUCUACUGGGGUUAAAAAAUUACCCAAUAAUAUAACUUAAAGAAUUUUGAUUCAUUGAUUGGAAAAAUUCCUCAGGAAUUAUAUAUUUAUAAAUGACAAAACAAAAGAAAUAGCAACAAAAAUUUAUUAAUGUUUGGCAGGGGGAUUCUCAUUGUAAUACUGACCCAGUCAGGCAUACUGCAAUAUGCAUACCAUAAUAAAGCCUGACUGGGUAAAAAAUUAUGUGCAUAUACUUGCAGCCGAGUAUAAAUGCACCGGUUAGAAUGGCUGCCAGCCUACCUGCGACCAGGUAGUCUGGUCAGCCUACCUGCGACCAGGUAGUCCAGUGAAGCUACAAGCAUGGUUCCCAGACCUCGAGCUUGCCCUGAUGGUAGGGGCGCUUCACUGGUUGCUAGAGGAUAAGUUGCAAUUUGCAAAAUGGUGGUUUGAAUUACUUAUGGAAGGGGGGAAGAAGAUCCACUUGUGUGGAUGCUAGCCCAAAAUGAUUAGUUGGGGAGAAUAAGAGCAAACUGAGAAUCCCCCAUAAGUAAUAUAAAUGGUAAGUGUAUGUACAGUUGUGUAUCAAAAAUGGCCUAUGGCCCUACCAUGACAUGAAAAUAUAUAUGACUAGAUACUACGCAAUAGUAGAAUAAGAUGAAGGCAAAAAAAAAAAAAAAUUCAUGAAAAAUACAUACAUGUAUACU